UACCAACUGGAGAUAAACUGACUGUAAAUGAAGGAGAUUCAACCAAUAUCACGUGUUCUACUAACAGUAACCCUGUAGCCUUAGUUACCUGGUAUAAUGGUACAAUUCAGAUAUCAUCUAAACAUACCAACAUCAAUACCUUUACCAUACAAGCUACAUGUCUGGAUACUGGUGACUAUACUUGUCACGCUACCAAUACCGAAAUAUCAAGUGUUCAAUACAGCCAAUCAUUGACAUUAUUUAUUAACUGUUCACCUAGACAAGAUACUAGAGUUAUAAAAACAUCUAUAGUUAGUGGUGAUAUAAGAGAUAUAGUACAACUGGUAGCUGAUGUUAUAUCCUAUCCACCACCAACCUUCACCUGGUAUUAUAAUAAUAUAACUACUGAAGAUGUUAAUGAUAGUGUCAUUAAACAGAUUGAUACCAAUAUAUCUAUCAAUACUUAUAGAUCAACAUUAAAUAUCAACAUUACAUCCAACAUCUUCUAUACAUCAUAUACAGUCAAUGUAUCUAAUAAUAUUGGUUAUACAGAACUAGAAUAUCAAGUUGCAGGUCAAUAUGUACCUACACCACCUGGCACCAAUGGAGGGUUAAUAGCUGGAGUUGUUAUAGCAGUGCUGGUAAUUAUUAUCGUUGCUAUUGUUGCUGUUAUUCUGGUACGAAAAAUGAGAAAGAAACAUGAAGCCGAAUCAUCAACAUAUGCUGGUUUAGAUCUAGAGACUAGAACAGCUACUGGUAUAGAUGAUACAACAUACCAAGGUCUACAACAUUAUGUUAAUCUACGAUCAUCUUCUACAGUCAAUAAUAACCAGAACUACGACUCACUUCAACAUAUAGAACCAACUACAGUAUAUGAUAGUUUGAAUACAAAUAUGGGUGAUGCGGUGAUAUCUGAAGGAAUAACUAAUACAAGCAAUUUGUCGAAUCCUUACGGAAAUAUUGAUGCAAAAGAAACACCAACUUAUGCUAAUCUUAAAACUGGGAGGAAUACACAAUAAUUACAACUGUAAUGUGGGAGACAACUCUACAUUCGUUAAAGUACAGGAUGCAGACCGCCGCUAAUUUCCCCAUUGACUUCAAUGUUAAUUCUGGCCUCUUUGCCCGGCUCAAACUUUUCCCCUAAUUAGACUAGAUAUUUCAAGUCCUAAAACCCUAAUGUGUUGAGUCUGCAUUUUUAUACUAUGUAGACUGUAAGUUACGUGACUAUUAUAUUACUUUGGGUUAUUGCUAUUUUACUAACAAUGCUGUAACAAUGGCAUCGAUUUGGUUUUUUUUGGUAUCUACGAAGAUGGCACCGUCGGCAAUAUGAAUAGCACAUAUAAAUUUAUUUACAAUAGUAGUUUGUGCGCCGCGCUCAUGACAGUUUUGUUAACGUUGGGGGUCUAUGCUGUAUCUAUAACAGAGCCAGG